GGACUACUAGGGUAUCUAAUCCUGUUUGCUCCCCACGCUUUCGCUCCUCAGCGUCAGUAUUGGUCCAGAAAGUCGCCUUCGCCACUGGUGUUCCUCCCGAUAUCUACGCAUUUCACUGCUACACCGGGAAUUCCACUAUCCUCUACCAUACUCUAGAUACCCAGUAUCGACUGCAGUUCCCAGGUUAAGCCCAGGGCUUUCACAAUCGACUUAGGCACCCGCCUACGAGCGCUUUACGCCCAGUAAUUCCGAUUAACGCUUGCACCCUCUGUAUUACCGCGGCUGCUGGCAC
rnacentral:rRNA from 1 species